rnacentral:lncRNA from 1 species
GUCUGCCCAAGACCUCAGCGUCCCAAGCGUGCAAGGCCAUGAUUGAGAAACUAGAGAAGGAAGGCUCUUCAGGUCCUGGCACACCCCGUACAGCAUUCUACCAGCUUCGGAGUCCCCAACGCCAACAGCAUCAAGCAGAGCCAAGACCCGUGGCUACGAGCACGUGGACAUCCAGAACUUCUCCUCCAGCUGGAAUGAUGGGAUGGCCUUCUGUGCCCUGGUGCACAAUUUCUUCCCUGAGGCUUUUGACUAUGGACAGCUUAGCCCACAAAACCGGCGCCAGAACUUUGAAAUGGCCUUCUCAUCCGCUG